UUUUUAUUAUUUUUAUUUUUAGCUGAAAAGACGUAAAGGCAGUCAGCCCAGUGGUGUUUCUGGAGAGGGAUUCCUUCAGAAAUGGAGAAGACAGAAAGCUGCGGAGGCAGAUAUUUGCAGCAGUCUAAAAUAUCAAGCUCAACAACUCACUCAAGAGCCAACCCUCACAAACCUUCCUAAAAACUAAAAGAGCUAUUACUGAGUCUCAGCGAAUCUUGCCAUGAUCAGCUCUUCCCAGAAGAGAAGGAAGACCAAGGAAAUGAUUUGCUCAGGAUGAGAAAUGAAGAUGGCCAUCUUGUGCUCAAACAAACAGAAGUCCUCUGAUGAUCUCAUCAGCCAAAUGAGGGGUUUUGACCAAGUGAUGCUCUUGAAAGGAGUGAAAGAAGAGGAUGUGCUAAAUUGUCUUCAGAGAAAAAGCUUCUCAAAAGAUCUUAAAACAGCUUGAAGAAUGGUCUGGGAUCUUAGGACUGAGAGAUCCUCUGGCUGAGAGAAGCUACACCACAUCAGUGCUGGACAUCAACCACAAACUGUUUCCAGACAUGAGAGAAGAAGAUCACGAUGGGGAGAUGAAACCAGUUUAGAUGUGAUGAUGGGAAUCAUUAUUUUCUGGAACAGUAUCUCAUGUCUUAUAUAUAUCACAUGAUCUGUAUCACAGUUGACUGGAUGGGACUGUGUGACUUUUAAGGACAUUUCAUCACUCAUCUGUGUGAACUGAUUUAUAUAUGAGGUUAAUGUAUUUUUGAUGAUAAUUAUUUUCAUUGAAUCUUAUUCGUCUUGAUGCUACUUUAUCAACUUUAUAGUCUAUGCUUCAAUAAAAUGAAAAUGGUGA